UUUUUACUCAUCCUCUAACCCUAGAAAAACAAAGCUGUAACUCUCUCUCUCCCUCCUAUCGCCACCGCCAAGAUCCUCUAUCAGUUCCAUUGUGUUUCAUUGAUCCAUCGUUUGCUCAUAGGAAAUGUAUUUAGAAAUGGUGCAAUAAGAAAGGGGAUAUAACCUGUGAGAUUUGCAAUCAGCUAGAACCAAUCCAGAUGUCAUGACUAUUGAUAUCAGGCAUGUAGAGUGGCCCGCAAAUCGAUCUCCGGGAUGCUCACUUCUUGGGUUUUGCUUAUGAGAAUCAGUUUCUUGAACCGGAUUAUGAAGAUUACGGUGUAGGAAGUAAUAACAACAUUGCGUACCUCCGGUUUAUGGCUCUCAUUUUCAUGUUAAUAUUGCUGAUACGCCAAGCUUUGUUGUCACAAAAGACCUCGGGAUGCUGCCAGGAGGAGACGGUUGUUACAGAGGAGGGCUGAGGUGAAAGUUAGGGUCCUGACGGGUGUGUCUAUGGCGGCUUAGCUGUCGCGGCAUCGCCAAUCGGUAGCUUGGUGGUAUGUUUUGGUACUUUAAUUUUGUGUAUGGGUUUUGUUUUGGUAUUGUUUUCGGAGUUUAGUUUUGUGGGUGGUUGGUUUAAGUUGAGGGUUGCUGGGUUGAGGAUUAUGGUGGUAUAUAUUUGAUUUUGGGAUUAAUAGUCAGUAUUUCAUUUUUUUGGUUGAUUAAUUGUUAAACACUAUUCAAAUCCUAUUUUUUGUGCAAGAAUCGGUGUCUACUAUGAUAUUAUUAUAGGUCACAACCUCUUUGAUUACGGUUUGUG